rnacentral:tRNA from 1 species
AAGGAUUUAAGUUAAGACUAAACUAUUAGCCUUCAAAGCUGGAAAUAGGAGGUUUCCUAAGCCUUA